rnacentral:rRNA from 1 species
CCUACGGGUGGCUGCAGUGGGGAAUAUUGGACAAUGGGGGGAACCCUGAUCCAGCCAUGCCGCGUGUGUGAAGAAGGCCCUCGGGUUGUAAAGCACUUUCAGCGAGGAAGAACGCCUGGUGGUUAAUACCCAUCAGGAAAGACAUCACUCACAGAAGAAGCACCGGCUAACUCCGUGCCAGCAGCCGCGGUAAUACGGAGGGUGCGAGCGUUAAUCGGAAUUACUGGGCGUAAAGCGCGCGUAGGUGGCUUGAUAAGCCGGUUGUGAAAGCCCCGGGCUCAACCUGGGAACGGCAUCCGGAACUGUCAAGCUAGAGUGCAGGAGAGGAAGGUAGAAUUCCCGGUGUAGCGGUGAAAUGCGUAGAGAUCGGGAGGAAUACCAGUGGCGAAGGCGGCCUUCUGGACUGACACUGACACUGAGGUGCGAAAGCGUGGGUAGCAAACAGGAUUAGAUACCCCAGUAGUC